CGUACCCCCAUAGGAGGUCGCUCCACCUUUUCUCUGGAGUGGCAAUUGAUGCUGGCGGGCGCUGGCUGCUGGCGGUUGAGCUCCGGCUGUGGCUCAGUGGAUGGGGCGCGGUUCUUUACCGACACCUAUUGCCAAAAAGGAGGGACAAAAAAAACUAAAAUCAACCAGCUUGUGGAUGGACAAAUACAGCGGGUUCCUGGUUCUAAUGGCGACUGUUCCGGAUAAAUACAAUGGAGUCCCCGGGUAUUGUGGUCCUGGUGGCAGCCUCUGCGCCCAAUAGGGUCCCUUUUAGGUUCUCGUUUGUCCGUCCGUCCGUCUAGUCUUUGGGGUUUUCUGAUGUGCUGCUUUCUCAGCACCGUAAGGUCAACAUUGGCUGAUGGGCCAAUGUCCUCUACUAUCCACUACCUAUCCUAACUAUGAGCUCAUGUUUAGGUUACUGUAUCGAACCCAACCAAAGGAAAAAACUUUUUUAACAAAAUAAAUCUGUCGAGAGUCAACGGUCUGUAUGCCUGUCGGUUUAUGGUCGGAGAAACUUUUUGGACUACCUUAUGGACACUGGGUGGCAACAUAUGGUGGUAACGCAGGGUUGUAUUCCCUAGUUGCCAUAAAAAAACGCAACUGUUCAAAACCAGAUGUCGCUCUACUCCAAUCAGACAUAGGGUGACACGCUACAAAUUUAAUAAAAUGUUACAAAACGAAAGGCAUUUAACAACAUGUACAUCUGUAGGGUAUAGCCGAUUGUACCCAGGCUUCUCGUCUGCCAUGGAAUUCACCGCCAAUGGUAUCUCGUCCCACCUGGACGCUUACUCUCUGUCUGUCUAUGUCCGUCCAAAGCUCGUAAUGUUACAGGCCAUUUUAUACGCCAAUUUCCAAUGGCCAAUUUCCUACAUGGCUAGAUCGAGCUCUUUCUAUUGGGGAAGGGCAAGGACCGUAAAAGAGUUGGAAGCGGUCCAAACAAAAACAAAAAACAUAAUUCUGAUACAAUAAAGCAAAUGCCUACCUUUACCAAAUUGAAAAAAAUGCUUUUCUCUUCUAUUUUUUUUCCAGAUAUAUUAGUCCGUCCGUCCGUCCAAGGUUUGUGUCCUGUGUAAAGUAUUGGGUCGUAAGCAAUCACCUGGGACACUGCGAGCUGCAAGUGUCUUUUGAAGAAUCCCACGCUGGAGCAAAGGAGUGUAAAAACAGGACCAGGUAUAAUGCGAGAUGGACUCUCAGAUCGGUAGAUGAUGAUGGCACCAGCUUGGUACCGGUAGAUGGACCCUCAGUUGAUCCGUAUGUGUCUGUCUGUUUAUUGUCUUUUUCUCUCGGUGGUGUUAUAUGUAAAAAUAUACAUAUGCAUGUAUUUAGGUUUUCUUGCAAUAGAGCCAGCACAAUCGGCCUCACUAUUGGGACACUGCCCCCACUUUAAACCUACGCUAAAGCUAGUUAAAAAAGAUAUAGGCUGAAACAAAAGGAAAAUAAGGAAGUCAAGUCUGGAAUCCGUUUGUUCGAAGUUAAUGGUAAUUCAACCGUCCGCAUAGGGCUUUACAUGGGGCAUGUGGGUCUGAGCAUGCCAGUUUGCUGCGUUUCCCACAUUGAUUGAAGUGGUGAUGGUGGCUGGACGUGGCCGAAAAGAUACGUUUAUAUUUGUAGUUCAAAUCUUGCUUGUAAUUUUGAGGUUUUGUUUAGUUUGUAAGUAUACGGUUUAUUUAGCUUGUAAGUUUUUGGUUUAUUUAGCUUGCAAGUUUAUGGUUUAUUUAGCUUGUAAGUGUUUGUGUAGUUUAUUUUAUUUUGCAGGUUAUUUAGCAAGUAAGUUCAUUUAGCUCUUAAGAUUAAAAUCUCUUUUUUCAGGUUUAACUUUUUCAUAUUUAGGUUACAAAUUCAAGUUUCAAUGUUCGUUUGGCACACAAUUAACCAUCAAUAAAAACACAAGCAUUAGCAUCUCUUUCUUCUUCUUUAAAAGUGUUGGUUAGGUCAUACUACAAGGCAUAUGCCUGGCUUUAGUUUCACAACAACAAAAAACACUCGAUUUCACUCGAUUCCACACGUCCAACCAGCUUCAAUGUUCAAAUCCAAGAGAUCGGAAAAAGACCAGGAAAUCGGCCAUU
rnacentral:sRNA from 1 species